CAGGUGUAACCACAACCUUGAAUUUCAGGAGCCCUGCCUUCAUCCUGGAUGAGGAUUUGCAUAAAUGUCCUCACUGACCCCACCACAGGCACAGUCCUGUGACUGAGCCCAAUAAAUAAAGCCUUUUGUCAGAGUCAGGCUGGUGAGAGGCAGAAAGAUGGUGCCAUCCCAGCUCCUGGGGCUCCUGCUCCUCUGUGUUCCAGGUUCCAAUGGGCAGAUUGUGCUCACCCAGGCUGCAGAGUCUCUGCCCGCCUCCCUGGGAGAGAAAGUCUCCCUGCGGGGCCAGUGAGAGGCUCCUCUACACGGACGGGAAGGACUACUUAUCCUGGUACUAGCACAGACCUGGGCAGAGCCCUAAGAUUCUCAUUUGCCGUGCUUCUACCCAAGUCGACGGGGUGCCCAUCCGGUUCAGUGGCAGUGGAUCUGGGACAGAAUUUACUCUCACCAUUGAAGACCUGGAGCCAGAGGACUUUGCAACCUAUUUCUGUCUUCAAACUCUGAAGAGUCCUCCCACAGUGAUUGAGCCCCGAACACUAACUUCCCUACCAGGGCAAGCCCACAGACCCAGCCUCCCUUUGGGCCCCUCACACAGGAGCUCAUCUGGCAGGAACAGCUGAGCACAGUCAAUACACAAGCAUGUGAGAAGCAGUUUAAUGAUGCCAGGGCAGAAACGAUACUCACUCAGUCUCCGGCGAGUGAGUCAGCGACUCCAGGAGACAAAGUCACCAUCUCCUGCAAAGCCAGCCAAGACAUUGAUGAUGAUAUGAACUGGUACCAACAGGAGCCAGAAGAAGCUCCUAAACUCAUUAUUAAAGAUGCUACUACUCUCGUUUCUGGAAUCCCACCUCAAUUCAGUGGCAGUGGGUAUGGGAUAGAUUUUACCCUGACAAUUAAUAGCAUGAAAUCUGAGGAUGCUGCAUAUUACUUCUGCCAACAGAGGGAUAAUACACCUCUCACGGUGAUGAACCCUGUUACAAAAACCUCCAAAUGCUCUCGCUGGGAUUGCCUCCGCUGCUACUGAAAAUAUUCGGAGUGUGGAACUGGGUGACCCUGUGGUGUUUAUAACGCUUCUCCAUGCCCAUGCAACUCACUUCCUUUUUGUUUCUGUAGUUUCUGCUGCCCCCAUGCUGUGCCUGACACACUUGAUAUGGCAGAGACUAGGACAGCCUUCCUCACAUUGUCCAGCUGUGCCAAUAAUCUCAUUUCCGAGCAGGGGUAAGUUCACAUGGCCAAGUCCCUGUUUUUUGCCAAACUCAUCAUUUCCACCUCCAAGGAAAACAGAAACAAAGACCAAGAUUGAUCUAGCUUAGAUUCCAAAUAGUAGCAUUAAAGGAAAUUUUUCCUCCCUCUCAGCGUGCUCACCCUCAUCCACACAGUCAUUGUGACUCUUUGCUAACGCUCUGAGUUCUCUAGUUCUCCCUCCAAUAAUAGGGGGAAAACAAGGAUAGAUAUGAAAGCGGCAUGUAACCUGGGUGCAGAUCUUACAGUCUUGCUCUCCUUAAAUCCCUGGAAUUUUUAUUUCAUCUAUUUCAUCUGGUUUGUUCUUGCUAAAUGACCACUAACGACCACUAGGAUCUCUCUUACUUAUUUCUCUCUCUUCUUAAACAUCUCCAUUCUUCUUUGAUAUUAUUCAACUACGUAAUACCAAAGUUAAAGGGUUUCCUUUUGUACUCUUGGCAUAAACUAUUAUCAGGUAACCUUUCCGCUUAACCCCAUUGCACUACUGGCCAACUUUCACCUAACAUCUUACAUGGAAGGAGUAUGUAGAGAACAAAGACAUUACCUUAAAUUUUGGAAUUCAGAAUACUCAAGGAGGCAAUAAUCUGUGUACCACCCCACUCUAAUCAAUAAGGAUUAAAUAACAGUUAGGUUAUUUAAUUAUUUGUCGUCUAAAUGAAGUUUUGUUGUGUCUGGUGAGAAAACAAUGAUAACAUUAAACUAAUCUCUAUGUUUUGAUCUUAUCAUUCCCAGCCUAUCAGCUUCCUUGCUGUUGUUUCCCUAUAGUCUCCACCUAGAGAACUUUCAUGUGUAUGUGUUCAAAACCUGUGGCUUCUAAUGAGACUUCGAGGUCUAUCCAAAACUACACCUGACUCUACAACAUUUAAUGAGUACUAAGUUUAGUAUUUAAUAGCCAUCAAACAAAGAAAGCAGUGAAAGUAAGGGGAGUCCCAGAAAAUUGUCAAUUUUAAACAAUUCUUUUCAUACAAUGUAAUCAUUUAAAGUUGUAAGUUUUCCUCUGAGUAGUGUUUUAACUGCAUCCCAAAGUUUUUAAAUGAAUAUUAUCAUUCUUAGUUUCUUGAUCAUAAAAACAUUUGGAGAAUACAGAUUAUUAUAAUUGGAGUUAAAAAAACUAUUAAGUAAUGUUGUUGCCAUUUUUUUUAAAUGUAUUUAUUUUCAAUUGACAGAUAAAGCUGUAUGUAUUUAUCAUGUACAAUAUGAUAUUUUGAAGUUUAUAUACAUUGUGGAACGGCUAAUUCUAGCUAACUAACAUAUGCUUUACUUCACAUAAUUCUUAUUUUUGUGGUGAGAACAUGUAACAUCCAUUCAGUAUUUUUCAAGAAUAAAAUGCUCACUAGUCAUAGUUACUUUGGUGUAUCAUAGAUCUCUUGAAUUUGUUUCUCCUAUUUAACUAAUUAUGUAUCUUUGACCAACAUCUCCCCAGUAUAUCUCCUCUCCCCUAACCACCCCAGGCUCUGGUAACCACCAUAAUGUUCUAUUUCUAUGAGAUCAACUUUUUUAGAUCCCGUAUACGAAUGAGAUCAUGAGGUGGUUGUCUUUCUUCAUCUGGCUUAUUUCACUUAACGUUAAUGUCCUCAAAGGUCAUCCAUGUUGUCAUAAAUGACAGAAUUUCCUUCUUUUUAUGGUUGAAUGCUAUUCCAUU